rnacentral:rRNA from 1 species
AUACGGAGGAUCCGAGCGUUAUCCGGAUUUAUUGGGUUUAAAGGGUGCGCAGGCGGCCAUUUAAGUCAGCGGUUAAAUCGUGGGGCUCAACCCCAUUCUGCCGUUGAUACUGGGUGGCUUGAUUGCGGUCGAGGUUGGCGGAAUUCGUUGUGUAGCGGUGAAAUGCAUAGAUAUGACGAAGAACACCGAUUGCGUAGGCAGCAGACCAGAUCGCAAAUGACGCUCAUGCACGAAAGUGCGGGGAUCGAACAGGAUUAGAUACCCUGGUAGUCCGCACAGUAAACGAUGAAUACUUGUUUUCGGCGAUAUAAUGUCGGAGGCAAAGCGAAAGCGAUAAGUAUUCCACCUGGGGAGUACGCCGGCAACGGUGAAACUCAAAUGAAUUGACGGGG